AUUUUAUUUUUUAUUUUAUACAUUUCAUUUUGUGAUGUGAUGUGAGCGCAGGUGCAACCCAACAGGCCCCAAACGUUCCUGGCAGCAAGUAAAAAUGAAAUAUAAAAAUAUAGUCCAAACAGGUAAGGUGUAAUUGUAUUAUGAGCCAUAGUGCUUGGUCUGUUUGUCCUACGUUAAUCAAUUGCAGUUAGAGGCUACAUUAAUUUUCUUUCUGUAAGCACUUAUUGAAAUUAUCUGAGCACAUUACAAGUACAUAUUUGCUUACUCUGUAUGCUCAAAUGUGACUCGUUAUAGCCAACAGAAAAAAAGCGGAGGCCCGAAAAACAGGUGGGGGUCCUCCACCACCACCACUCACAGAGGCUGAGCAGUUGGCCCUCAGCCAAAACAGUGGGCGCCAUGUGGCUGAAGGCAUCUCUGCGGGGACAUCCUCUGAGUCAAUAACCCCGCAAGACACAAGUGCCUACAUAAGAGUUGAUGGUGAUGGUGUACUGCAUCUGGUGCAGCCUCCUGUUGAGCCAGACCAACAUGCAGUUGAAAAUAAUGAAGAAACAUUGACAGCUGUUACAGAGGAGGAAGCAACAGAGACACUUCAUGAGGUUUACAUCUUACAAUGGAAAAUAUAACAAUUGAAUAAAAUGUGGUACUAUAAUAAAACCAUGGACUUUCUAUAUCUCUAACAGAGUGAUGAUGGAAAUGAAGAGGAAGAGGGUCCAGCCACUUCUCCAACAAACCUUUCCUCACUCCCUGUAAAGCAGCUGUACAAGACCUAUUUGAUCAAGAAAAUAAAAAAAAUGCGACUUGGAAAUGGAAAACUUCAAGCAGCAGAUCCAAAAGACCAAGAUUGAGAUUUUACUGCUGGAACAUCAGUUAAGGGUGGGUGAAGUGGUCAGAGAUGGACGAAUUAUUUCAGUGUUUGAACAACAUAAUAAUAUACUUAUUAAUAGUUUGUGUACAGGAAAUACAGGCAACCAAUAAAGCCAGUUGAACAAAAAA